rnacentral:rRNA from 1 species
AAGAGAAAGUCAGAGAAUGUGGGAUGGGAGUAUGGGAGUCUAGUUGAUGCUUAUAACAAGUACAAAGUGAAGUGUAUGUUUUAUGGGUGUGAGCAUUAGAGGUGUUUAUCAUCACAAGGAGCAUGUGUGCAUGUUGGCAAUAUUGUCGUUAAAUGCAAGAAAAGCUCACAUGAAGUAAAAGGCAGGUGCAAGAAAUCUCUUGAGGAUGCAUGCAAGAAGAGGAGGGAAAAUACUGUCCGUGAGCUAGAUCUCCGAGAAGGUCUGAAUAUUUCUCGCAUUGGAGAUGUUGAAGUUACUUGUAUCAAAAGCGCAGAGCCACACAAGAUAGGUCCCAUUGACAAGUGGACACAUCCAAUUGAUCCUAAAUUAACUCAAGGUGAACCCUUGCAGCAAUAGAAGAUAGACAAGGAACUUUGGAAAAAGAGAACGCACGAAGGGCAACAAUAUGUGGCUAGAUAAGUGUACAAUCAAGCUAUACCAUUCAAUGCUUGUAACAACGGUGAUUUGAAGUUAAUGUGUGAAGUCAUUGGGAGGUUUGGCCUUAGAUUUGAGCCGCCUUCUAAACAUGGCAUUCGAGAGAGUUUGUUGAGUGAGGAACAUACAAGAGUGAAGAGUUUGUUGUAGGAACAUGAUGCUGAAAACAUGAAGAAUGGUUGCUCCAUUAUGACUGAUGAUUGGUCAAACAGGAAGAGGAGAAGCAUACUAGACUUGUGCACAAACUGUGUUGAUGGUUCAAAUUUAUAA